GCCGAAAUAGCUCAAUUGGUAGAGCAACUGACUUGUAAUCAGUAGGUUGCGGGUUCAAUUCCUGUUUUCGGCACCA
rnacentral:tRNA from 3 species